CCCCGCCGGGUCCCUGGUGGGACGCGGGGCUGCCCGCCCUGGGCGGGCUGACGAACCAGAGCCCAGGGGGUACUGGCCCCUGGCCGGAG
rnacentral:tRNA from 1 species